rnacentral:rRNA from 1 species
AGAGUUUGAUCAUGGCUCAGAAUGAACGCUGGCGGCGUGCUUUACACAUGCAAGUCGAGCGAGGCGCGGGGGCAACCCCGCAGUCGAGCGGCGAACGGGUGAGUAACGCGUGGGUAACCUACCUCUGGGUGGGGGAUAACCCGGGGAAACUCGGGCUAAUACCGCAUGACAUCCAUGGAUCAAAGGGGGCCGCAAGGCUCUCGCCAGGAGAGGGGCCCGCGUACGAUUAGCUAGUUGGUAGGGUAAUGGCCUACCAAGGCGACGAUCGUUAGCCGGACUGAGAGGUUGAUCGGCCACACUGGAACUGAGACACGGUCCAGACUCCUACGGGAGGCAGCAGUGGGGAAUUUUGCGCAAUGGGCGAAAGCCUGACGCAGCAACGCCGCGUGGAGGAUGAAGGUCUUCGGAUUGUAAACUCCUGUCAGCAGGGAACAAAUACGCCGGGCUCAUACCCCGGCGGGUUGAGUGUACCUGCAGAGGAAGCCCCGGCUAACUCUGUGCCAGCAGCCGCGGUAAUACAGAGGGGGCAAGCGUUAUUCGGAAUUAUUGGGCGUAAAGGGCGCGUAGGCGGCUUCGCAAGUGGAUGGUGAAAUCCCUCGGCUCAACCGAGGAACUGCCGUCCAAACUGCGUGGCUUGAGUCCGGGAGAGGUGAGUGGAAUUCCCAGUGUAGCGGUGAAAUGCGUAGAUAUUGGGAGGAACACCAGUGGCGAAGGCGGCUCACUGGACCGGAACUGACGCUGAGGCGCGAAAGCGUGG